GCUGGGUGUGGUGGUGCACACUUGUAGUCCCAGCUACUUGGGAAGCUGAGGCAGGAGGAUCACUUGAGUCCAGGAAGUUGAGCUGCAGUGAGGUGUGAUUGUGCCACUGCACUCCAGCCUGGGUGACAGAGUGAAACCCCGUCUCUA
ensembl:misc_RNA Metazoa_SRP Metazoan signal recognition particle RNA